rnacentral:rRNA from 1 species
ACUCAAAGGAAUAGACGGGGGCCCGCACAAGCGGUGGAGUAUGUGGUUUAAUUCGAUGCAACGCGAAGAACCUUACCUGCUCUUGACAUGGUAGGAAUCUGACAGAGAUGUUGGAGUGCCGCAAGGAACCUACACACAGGUGCUGCAUGGCUGUCGUCAGCUCGUGUCGUGAGAUGUUGGGUUAAGUCCCGCAACGAGCGCAACCCUUGUUCUUAGUUACCAACACGUUAUGGUGGGGACUCUAGGAAGACUGCUGGCGUUAAGCCAGAGGAAGGAGGGGAUGAUGUCAAGUCAUCAUGGCCCUUACGAGCAGGGCUACACACGUACUACAAUGGUCGGUACAGAGGGAAGCAAGACCGCAAGGUGGAGCAAAUCUCACAAAGCCGAUCGUAGUCCGGAUUGAGGUCUGCAACUCGACCUCAUGAAGCCGGAAUCGCUAGUAAUCGCGGAUCAGAAUGCCGCGGUGAAUACGUUCUCGGGCCUUGUACACACCGCCCGU